rnacentral:rRNA from 1 species
AUGAAUUGGAUACUUCAAGAGAAGAGAAGAGAAUUGUCACAUAAGGAGAGGCAUGGUGUUUACUUUGCUUUGCUGGUAAUCAAGCUCAGAGAUGGGUCUAUUCAACCAGACGACAAGCUGCUAGUCUCAAACCGGUUGGACAUAAGUGUACGAUCUGUUGAAAGAAUCUGGGAACAGGCUAAAAAGCAAAUUGCCGAUGGUAAAGAAGUAAAUGUCUCAAGCAAGAAGCCAGGAAGGUCUGGCCGAAAGAGAAAGGAGCUGGAUCUAGAGAGGACCCCAACAAUCCCACUGAAUAAAAGAAGAACAAUUCGAUCUCUGGCACGGUCUCUAGGUGUGGCCCGAUCGACCCUACAUAAGAGGUUCCAGUUGAAUGAGCUCAACCGCAUCACAAGCACCGUGAAGCCUCACCUCAAGUGUGAUGCCCCCGAUUUGAUCGUACACUAA